AGGUUGCCCAGCUGGGCAGAGGGAUCCUCCUCCCAUCAUCACUGGCUCACGUUGCAGUUGUGCCUCUUCUGAUUAGCGAAGCCACAGGACAUUGAGUUCUUUAUCCACCCAACUAUUGUGACAACCUCAAUUCCAAAGGCACCUCUUAUGUGCGCGGCCAAGGCAGCGGCGAGACGGAGUGGAGCAGAGCACUGCAGGCAUUAGUCACCAGCACAGCUUCGAAGCAAUUAACUCCAAGGUCAAGGAUCUGUUUUGUACAAGCUGGAACUGUGAGGAGAUGUUUUUAAGGAGCUAUGAAAAGAAAUAAAUAUGAUUAAAAUCAA